rnacentral:rRNA from 1 species
AGAUUGAACGCUGGCGGCAUGCCUUACACAUGCAAGUCGAACGGCAGCACGGGAGCAAUCCUGGUGGCGAGUGGCGAACGGGUGAGUAAUAUAUCGGAACGUGCCCAGUCGUGGGGGAUAACGCAGCGAAAGCUGUGCUAAUACCGCAUACGAUCUAUGGAUGAAAGCGGGGGAUCGCAAGACCUCGCGCGAUUGGAGCGGCCGAUAUCAGAUUAGCUAGUUGGUGGGGUAAAAGCCUACAAGGCGACGAUCUGUAGCUGGUCUGAGAGGACGACCAGCCACACUGAACUGAGACACGGUCCAGACUCCGUACGGGAGCAGCAGUGGGGAAUUUUGGAC